UAUCGCGAGAGCGGCGACCGCAGCGCUGGAUGGCGCUGGUGGGGGCUGGAUUCGCCCACGGCUCGCCCUCUCUCCCCGUUAAAUCACACGGUAGGGCACGCGAUCGGAAGGAGACUGGCGGCGACAGCGGCUGGGGCAAAGUGAAAGAAGAGAAGAAAGCAUCGAAGGAGUCCCCACAUGGGAGCAACAGUGCUGUCUAAUCCACUUUUAUCUGACAGAAUCUGCCAAAGGAUGCUUUGGAAACGCUGUCAUGUCUUCAGACACAAACUGCUAAAUCCAAGGAGCUAAAAACAGAAAAACAAAAAAGCCAACCACUGGCUGUUCCACGUGGACAGAUAUUAAAGUAAAAACACGGCUGGAGAGGGGGAGGAUUGUAUGGUUGCCAAAUCCCCCUCCGAGACAAACCGCAUCUUCCCAAUCUACGGCCGCCGCCUCUCUCCUCGUCCUCCCUCCACCUCCUCGUCCUCCUCUGCCCUUCCCUCAUUCUCCCUCAUUCUCUCUCAUGGGAGUGACAUAGAGGCCGUCGCUCGGUCUGCCCCCCCGCCCCUCCUCCUCCUCGCCGUGGAAACAGGGGCGUCCAGGUAGUGAUGUCGUGGAAGAGGAACUACUUUGCGUCGGGUGGUGGAGCGGCAGGCGGGGUGCAGGGGCUGGUGACCCCGAGAACCAUGACCUCCAUCGCACCCAGCAAAGGCCUGAGCAACGAGCCGGGACAGAACAGCUGCUUCCUCAACAGCGCUCUGCAGGUUUUGUGGCAUCUCGACAUCUUCCGCAGAAGUUUUCGACAGCUGACCACCCACAAGUGCAUGGAGGACUCGUGUAUCUUCUGCGCUUUAAAGAGUAUCUUCGCUCAGUUCCAGUUCAGCAGCGAGCGCGUCCUGCCGUCUGAUGCUCUGCGCAGCGCUCUGGCCAAGACCUUCCAGGACGAACAGCGCUUCCAGCUGGGCAUCAUGGACGACGCUGCUGAGUGCUUUGAGAACCUCCUGAUGCGCAUCCACUUCCACAUCAGCGCUGAGAGUCGAGAGGACAUCUGCACAGCCAAACACUGCAUCCCACACCAGAAGUUUGCCAUGACUCUGUUCGAACAGUGUGUGUGUAACAGCUGUGGAGCCACAUCAGACCCCCUGCCUUUCAUUCAGAUGGUUCAUUACAUCUCCACUACAUCCCUCUGUAACCAGGCAGUGAGGAUGCUGGAGUGCAGAGAGAAACCAACACCGGACAUGUUUGGAGAGCUGCUCCGCAACGCCAGCAACAUGGGAGACCUGCGCAACUGCCCUAGCAACUGUGGGGAGGUGCUGCGUAUCCGCCGGGUACUGAUGAACUCGCCAGAGAUCGUGUCCAUCGGGCUGGUGUGGGACUCGGACCACUCUGACCUUGCAGAGGACGUCAUCCACAGCCUGGGAACCUGCCUGCGACUGGGAGAUUUGUUCUACCGUGUGACAGAGGAGAGGGCUCGCCAGGCGGAGCUCUACUUGGUGGGCAUGGUGUGCUACUACGGCAAGCACUACUCCACCUUCUUCUUCCAGACCAAGAUACGCAAGUGGAUGUACUUCGACGACGCCCACGUCAAAGAGAUCGGCCCUAAGUGGAAGGACGUAGUGUCUCGCUGUAUCAAAGGCCACUAUCAGCCCCUGCUGCUGCUCUACGCUGACCCCCGUGGGACACCGGUGAUACUGCAGGAGAGCCCCAACCCCUGUACCAGCUCCAACCCGCAGCUCGAGCUCCAGCACUGCAGCAGCAGCAGCAAGGCUGGUUACGACAGCGAAGACUCCGGUCGGGAGCCAUCCAUAUCCAGCGACACUCGCACCGACUCCUCAACAGACAGCUCGAGUCACCGCGCUUCUCGUGGCCGGUCCCUCCACCAGUCCACCGGCAGCCACCUCUCCAGCGAGUCCCAGACCACGGUGGUCUGCAACUACGACAUCGGCACACCGCCGCUCGGUGCUGACGCUGGAGAGUCAGCAGUGGAGGGUCCUCCCCGGCCUCCCUCUCCCCCCCUGCAGGAGUACAAGGAGACGGCCGUCUUCCUCCUCUCCUCCCGCAGGCCUCUCACCUCCUCUUCCUCCUCCUCUCGGCCCCUGUCUUCCUCCUCUUCGUCAGGAGUCGGGGGCUGCGAGGGCGGGGCUGGAGGGCCCCACUGGGAGGAUGAAAGCACCAGCAGCGAGAGCAAGUCCAGUUCUUCUGGAGGCCGCUACAGGCCGACCUGGAGGCCCCGGAGAGAGGCCCUGAACAUCGACAGCAUCUUCACCCGACAGAAGGGCUCCUCUCUGGGCUACAGCACGCUACCCGGCCCCCCUCUACCCCCGGAGCCCCAGGACUCUCUCCCCUCGGCGGGACCUGUUACACCACAGCCGGGGCUGCAAGAGGCGGAAGGGAGGGAGAUCGGGGAGUUGGAGGCGGGGUUUGGGCUGGCUGGGCAGCCCAGGUCUCUGGGCGGCGGUGGGUGGACGAUGGGUCCCCCUGCCCCUCCACCUCUGAGAGGGGUGGAGCACCAGCCACGUCUGAUCCAGAGGAUGGAGAGUGGCUACGAGAGCAGUGAGAGGAACAGCAGCAGCCCUGACAGGGAGGUUGGGCAACAGAAGCGGGUGCUGAUGUCAGGACCUUCAUGGCGUUCGGUGCCCAAGUCAAAGAGCAGCAGUGCCAUCCUGCAGGAGCUGCCUUCACCCAGCUGGGGCGGCAGCGGCACCGGCACCGGCACCAACAUAGGCUCGGGGCGCAGUGAGCUGGACGAGCUGCAGGAGGAGGUGGCAAGGAGAGCCCGCCAGCAGGAGCAGCAGAAGAGGAAGGAGGCGGAGCGCGAGGCGGCCAUGGGAUUCAACCCCAAACCCAGCAAAUUCAUGGACCUGGACCAGCUCCAACACCAGGCUGUGCUCAGACCCCUGCAUGAGGCUAACGCUCAUAGCGGAUUGGCUGUAGCUGCGUGCAUGAGGAGCACUGGGGGCCCAAUCAAACGCAGGCAGGAACAAGAAAUGGAACGGGAGACAGGAAGCACCCGCCCACAGGGGCCUCGCAGUGAACAGCCUGGCCCGGUCCAAGUACUGCUGACGCCCAAUCAGGAGGAGGAAGAGGACCAGGCGACGCCUGGCCAGGCCCCGCCCCCUCCGCCCUACCGGCCCCCUCGACCCCCGCUCAGCCUCAGCAUCGCUCACCCCUGCGCCCCUGCGGAGGCGGCGGAGGACGGGGGCGGGAGGAGAGGAGGCGGGGAGGGAGGCGAGGACGGGCGGGAGGGGACGGGGGUGAGGCUGUGUGAGCUGCUGCAGGCCGGGGGGGUGAGCGUCAGACCCCUGGGGAAGCACUUAGCCAUCUCUCUGCCCUCCCUUCCUCUGCGUCUCUGGGAUACACACAGCGCCACACACACCUCCUCACACCUCCACCCCACGCACACACACCCUCCACCUCCCCCUCCGCCCUCCACGCCUCCCCCGUCUGCCCCUCUGGAAGCUCCCGGUGAGAGGAAGCCUCCCGUCACGCCGCUCUGGCAGCCGCCCCAGCCCCCUUCUCCCACUGCCGCCGCCGCUUCUCAGCACCUGCCCAGGUACAGAGCCACGCCCUCUGACGGCGCCACCCGUCAUUGGUCCUCCUGGAGCUUGGACCGCCCUGACGCCGUGGUGACGCCUUACGACACGCCCCCGGACCGCUGCGUUCCCAUCAGGCCUCCAAUGUCCAGCAGUCAGAACUACAGCUACAGUUGUCAGUCCUCUCCUGGGCACUACAGCUCCCAGCAUGCCCCGGGGCGACACAGCGAUCCCUGCUGUGAGCGUGAAGAGGCCGAGCUGUCGGAACUCGACUCCCUUUACCAGGCCAGUCUGCUGGCUGGGAAAACAGGCUGCAGCCCAUCAGAGAGGCUCAUAUCCAGGGUGGGAGGGCAGGCUCGCUCCAAGACCCCCAGCGCAGACAUGGAGAGGAGCGUGUACGGGGCCGACUGCACCAGCACCCCCACCUACCUCAACAAGCCAAUGAUGUUGCGGGAUCUGCGUUUCGGGGCGGAGCCUGAUGAUGGGGAGAACCUGAGGCGGAUUGGACGCAGCCUGAGCGGCACGGUGGUGACCUCGCGUCGCAGCCGCCUCACUGCAACCCGCAGCUUCGAGCUGUCGGGCGGUGCAGGGAGUUUCUGGCUGUGUCUGACGGGGGUCAAGCUGUCUUCAGACCAGAGUCCUGCUGUGUUUCACUAAAACGUCCCACCGCCUCCACCUCCACGUGGGGCAGCAGCAGCAGCAGCAGCGCCGGCGUCCCCCCGACAGCCUCGCCUCGACGGACCUGAAAUCGGCUCAGGAGGAUCGACUCGACUCCUCAUCCUGUUCCUCCUCCUCCCUCCUCAAAACGACAUGCAAACGGUCUGGUCACACUGGCAGCAGGCUAAGCAGGGGAUUCCAGAUGCCUUUCUCUCCAGCAGUGUUUUCCAGUUCCUCCUGGGGGAUCCCAAGACAUUCCCAGGCCAGAUGAGAUAUGUAACUCUUCCAGCAAGUUCAGGGUCUACGCAAGGUCUCUUCCCAGUUGGACUUGCUUGGAAAACUUCCAAAAGAAGGCAUCCAGGUUGUUUUCUUCUGGAGAAUUUCCAAAAGAAGGCAACCUGGAUGCAACCCCCUCAACUGUUUCAACAUAAAGGAGCAGCACCUCUACUCCGAGCUUUCUCCAGAUGUCAGAGCUCCUAACCCAAUCUGAGCUGAGCCCAGCCACCAUAGGUAGGAGACCCAUCUCAGCUACUUGUAUCUGGGAUCUCAUUCCUUUAGUCACCACCUGGUCACAGGUAAGGGUUGGAACACAGACCAGUUGGUAAAUUAAUCCUCACCACGAUGGUCUGAUGCCGCUUUACUGCUGACACUACACCAAUCUGUCUUUCCAUCUUACACUAUUUUCUUUUCACUUGAGCCCAAAAUCCUUAAACUCCUUCUCAUGAUGCAGCAGCUCUCCAGAACCCAGAGGAAGCAGUCCACCAAAUACCAGCAAAGAACCAUGGCCUUAGAUUUGGAGGCGCUGACUCUCAUCUUGACCACUUCACACUCUAGUGCAGCUGAAUGUUCUGGCUUGAUGAAGGCAACAGAACCACAACAGAAGAAGCAACUUUGUGGUUCCCAAACUGGAUAUUUUUACCCUGAGACCUUGUCCGGGGUUGGAGAUGAGGGGUAAUACUUCUUUGUGCAACCAAAGUGAGACCUGACAAAGUCAAACACAUUAGAUAAAUGGUUGGGCAAAACAUGAACGCUCCCUAAAAUGGUGGCACUGCUGAAAUGAACUACCAGCAUGUAUUUAAUGACACUAUUUAAAUAAGGAUCCUAGUGUUUUCUGCUCUAUAAGUCUUCAGGAGGAUGUUGGGGUUGAUGGACUGGCAUACAUCGUGUUCUGCUGCAACCCUUUUCUUUUUAUAUGUAGUGUUGUCUAUUUUAAAGCUGUGCUAGGGUUUUUUUUUUUUUUUUUUAGAAUCAUUCCACAAAACUUUAAUAAUAAACACAUGGUCCUAAUGGAAACUAGACUUCCGUACCUCCUCUUGGUCUUUAGCAUUUGGAAAAUAUAGCUCAUGACAGGGAACUUUGACAACUCAGUUUUUUUUUUUAACCCAGAUCAGGAAUGGAAAGAGCAACGAGGUCCACCGUGGGAGUAGAAUCUGUUGGCUGAAUGGGUUAAACAGAAGACUUUCAACCAGGAGAGUGGUGUUUGAAGCUGAAAAUAAAUGUUGACUUUUGGUUUGACUCUGCUGAACAUUUGAAGUGCAUGUACUGUAUAUGUCUGAGGGAAAGAGAGGAAAGAGCUGUACUUGCAAAUAAGCCAUUUUUGCAGCUUUAAUUGUCAUGAUUGUUGCCUAGCCAAAUAGUUUUACAGAUUAUAAAGCCGUUACAAUCAAUUCUUUCUAAAUACUUGUAUAUGAAAGUGUUUACUCUAUAAUGAACCCACAGAAACGGACAUACAGUCCCCCUUUUUGCAUCUUUCUUCAGGUUUCAACUCUCCACUUCUCUCUUAUAGCAUCAUUUAUGGCUACAUCAUGCAGCUAUUUGCAGAGACAGACGAAGUACCAAAACAAUAAAGUAUUUAGCAGCUAAAAUGAUAGAUAUUUCCUGCAGGAGUGGGGGUGGCCAAAGGCAUGACUCAAAACAAAUACUAAUGUUACUUCUUAUCUGCUGGAUGUGUAAAUAAGCCAUUUUCUUGCUGACAUAUUUGUGUUUAUAGCUGAUUUUGGUUGCUGCCAAGCAGCCAGAACAUCUAAUAAUGCCGGUUUAAUUGUAUUCAUGCUUUAAGAUUAGCAACAGCAAAUCAGAAAGUUUACUUGGAAUGCAAUAAAAGUGCUCAGGUAUGAGUACUUGUUGACUGUGCUUUGGUUUGGCUGCCAGGAACGGUUCUCCUAGUUUUCUCUGUAGGAUGAAUUCCAGCUAUUGUGAAAUCGUACAAUUGCAGAGCAUCUCUGGGAAGGCUUCCAGUAGAGCAGCUUUUAUUUUAUCUCCUUGCAGAUGGCUCCAGAAAAAGGCAGCUUUCUUCAGUCUUUCAAGGCAAAGUUGCAGUGUGUGAAUUAGUUUAGGUAUUUUUGGCUUUGAUUUGCAUGUGAAGGUUAAAAGGAUUCAAAAUUGUAAAAACUGAGGUGGACAGCAGUGGUGAGGAGGACGCUGAGCUACAAAGAAAAAGGUUGAUCUUCAUUCCAAAUCCAAUUUAUUACUGUAUUAAAUUAUUUUUUUGGUUCCCACAAUCAUAGUUUUUGUAUUUUGCCUUUCUACACGAUGUAAGAUGAGCACAACUGUAGUAGCACCAGAAAUAACAAAUAGACUUUAUUGUUAUCUUGUAAGAAGUAAAGUAAAUACUGAAUUUAGUUGUUGUUGCAAGAUAUCAAGAUAAUUAACUCCUGAUGUGGAGAUAAUAGGAUUAAAUAAUAAUUACAGCUAUGGCUCAGCUUCUGUGAAACUGUUACAGCUCUGUGUUUGUUGUCUAAUUGCCAACUAACAACCACUUCUCCACUAAAUCUCUCCUUGGGCUGCUUUUCCCAGCGUGUCUUCCUUCUUUCCCGUGAUGCUUUUCUGUGUUCUGCUCGAGGGCUCCAAGUCAUUGUUGUUGAGGGUCUGUUUUGAGACACAGUUUGUGCAAUUUGAGGUUUUUAGUCACAAGCUUUUGGUGGUGACCACUAGAAAGGGAAUGGUUGAACUCACCAGGAACAGGAAACACUGGUAUCAGACUUAUCAUUCAUGCCUGAAUGAGCACAAAGAGGACUUCUUUGUUUUUGCUCAUCCUCCUUUUAUCAUCCAUCCACGUGUGCACAUGCUCUGUCUCAAGGCAAUCAACUGGUUAUGAUAAAUAUUACAGGAAACAGAGACUUCUGACAGACAAAUUGUUUAAUUUCGCAGCCAGAACACUGAGAAUUUGGGUCAGAUAAUGAAAACCACAGAUUAUGUUGCACUACACUAUUGUGUUAUUUGUAAGCUCUAUACACCAUGAUUUCACUAUGCAGAUAGGUGAUAAGUUAAAGAAAAAAUGAAAGAAAGUGUCUUAGUAAGGUUCUGGGCCAGUGCAAAAGCUUUAAUAUUACAUAAUGAGAGAGGUUUUAUCAUGAACAUGGAAAACUACAUCUGAAACAUGUUUGAAUAUGUCAAAUUAACUUUAUCUAUAUUGCACAUUUUAAAACAUAGUUGACCAAAGUACAGCACUUGCUUAAGACAGACAACAGCAGAAAUAUAUGUGCAAUAAAGCAACACAAAAAUUACCACAUUAUCUGGAAAACAAAUAAAUGUAAGAAAAAAGAAACAAAACAAACUUCACAACAUGUUGUAAGAACAUUUUUUAAAUAAAAUGACUAUCAAAAAAAUAAAAAUUGAAAGAUAAUAAAGUGCAACCUUAAGCCAUUGAAACAAGGUAUGUGUUGAGGUUUUCCUUAAAAAAAUGUCAAAAGAGGGGAAAAAUUUGGUUAAAAGAUGAAGGCUAUUCCAAAGUUUUAGACCCAUGCAUGACUUUAUAUUGACAGCUUACUACACUGUAUCUGCUCAAAGCACCUAAAGUAUCAUUAAACUUCUUUAAGGAGGUGUUCAGGUGCAUAACAUCUAAUUAAGGUUAAGAACACAACUGCACCUAACAUAAAAAUCCUUAACUUUCCAUAAACUUUCCAAAACCGUGAAUUACAAAACAGGAAAUAAAGGAGAUGGUGUUUCUGUGUCUGUUUUUAUGCAAGAGCUCAGCACUGAUCUGUAAAAUUUCGAUGGAAAGAUACCACUUGCUGUUAUUUUUUAUGUUACUUUCUUUGUCUUCCCCCCAGACUUUGUGCGAUCACAGGGUGUCAAUUUCAACUCACAUAGAUGCUUCAAAAAACAGCCAAAUAUACUGUGCCAAGGAUAAAGUAAUGUAAAAACACUCUGUGGAGUCAAUAGACGCAACAAGAAGAAACUCGACAGAAAAGGUUUAUUCACCCUGAUCUUGGCAAAAGUUUUUUUGCAGAAAGGCACAGAUUCAUGAAAUAUUAAAGCCUUCUUAUUGUACUUUGGCUCACAGUGUGCUUUAGCAUUUUCUUUUCUCAGAUAGUUCUGCCUCACUUCAUAUCUGUGUGUCCAAACUUUGAUCCCUCCAUGUAUACUGUUCACAAUAAGGCAAGAUUCAGUCAUUUCUGAUCUGAGCUCAGUUACUUUUACUUCAACAACUGAAAUCCUUGGAUUCUGUCUGAAUUUUUUUUCACAAGUUUGUCAGAGCAUGAGUGCAGACACGUGGAAAUGUGACUUCAUCAGUACAUCAGUAAAUACUCAAAAAUGAAAACUGUUGGACCAAACCAAUUGAAUUCAUUCAGUUGGUUUCAAAUAACUGAACAAAGUAAGUUAGUUUAUUACCACAGGUUUAAGUUAGAUGUACUUAAAUCUUUUGAUUUCUGUCAAAUGAAGAGUUUGCAUUACUACAACUUAAUUUUAAGGAAAAUCACUUUAAAAUUUCAAUUUUUUCAACUUUGCUUUAUAAAAAACAAAAAAUGUAAAACACGAAUGUGUCGUUAAACUUGUAGUAUCUAUCCUUUACAUUACCUUGUUAUUGGACUCUAAGAAAACAGCGGUUGAGUUGCAGCAGGUAAAUUUUAAUAUAAGACACACAACGCACAAUUUUUGCACUUUGUGCAAAAUUGGAAUACCAGCUUAAAUGACAAAAAUGUAAUUUUAAGUUAAUAGAAUCCAGAAAAGUAGACCACCAUCACCAAACUAGAAAACGAAAUUAGAUUAAUUCAAAACAGUUUUUUACGAUAGCUCAAACACGCUUUUUACAGUCUAUGGGUUCACUUACUCUAUAGUUUUUACUGUUUUAGAUACAUUUUGAUCAGAAAUCAAAAUAGACUUCAGGGAGAUCAGGUGGGGACAUCAGUGAUCAAAGUCUACAAUUCUACAAUUACAUUUUGCAGACACUUUUCCACAUACAUCUGAGAGUAGAUGCAACACAACCAAGGAUCUAGUCAGGAGUAAACAACCUGAAUAAGAGCCAUAAAACAAGUGCAAGUGUGAUAGGACCUUGGUGUAGGAGGUAAUAGGCAUUUUUAAAUUUUUUUGCAGUCUGUCAAGUGCAAAGGUGUUCAGUGAAGGUAUGUGUAUAUUUUGGCAAUUGGAUUUUCCGUUCUGAAACGGGUAUUAAAAAACAAAAAACGAGUGGUUAUUUGAUUUUGGUUUUAAAAUACAAAAAUUAAAAUUGAAAUACGAGGUGCUUUUCCUUUUCAUGAUCAAAAAGGGAUAUACGAAAUUUUAAAAAUGCUUUGAUUUUCAUUUUACAUUUAGAAUAACAAGAAAGUAAAAUCAGUAAGAGACAGAAACGAAAAAAUAUCCGUUUUUUCAUUUUCUGAGACCGGAAGUGGUCAUCAGCAAGUGUGGAGCCAAACAGAGUUCGGUGCAUAGACUGUAUAUGAUUUUUUUUCAUUAGUUUUCAUGGUCAAAAUUAGAGAUCAGGUGGCCGAUCUUAAAAUAAAUCAAUAUUGAUUUUUUUUAUAGAGCUUUAAAGUUUUGCGAAGCCAGGGGGCGGGGCUACUUUAUUGACAGUCUGGUCUGGAAUGAUUGACAGGUCCUAUGGAGGAGGCAGCAGAGACUCUGCUCUCCUCGUUUGGAUUAAUUCCGAUAUAAUAACUGUUGGUUUAUUUAUCGGUGCAGCAGCAGAACAUUUUCCACAGACAGUUUUCCUGCCCGUUGGCUUGUUUUAACCAGUUUUCUACCUUCGGCUGAUUCUACCAGCAGACACUGAAAGGACUCUGAUAGUUCGGUAAGUUAAUGUUUAUUUUCUUAUCGGUGCCGCUUUUAAUGCACUUUAUAUGCAGCUUUAGUGUCAGAUAUAAUGUGUGCCAUGCACUCCAGAUGUUGGUGGAGUUUAUUUCUGUGUGUGUUGACCAGAGAAGAAAGUUAGCAUCCGGUAAAUAUUAGUUUUAAUGUUAGCGAUGCUAACCGAGCUAGCUGCUCAGUCGUAAACUGAUUAAAGCUAACGUAGCAUUAAGCUAACGUAACAUUAAGCUAACGUAGCAUUAAGCUAACGAUGUUUGUGUUGUUUCCUGUCAGCAGCUGAAGUGUGUUGUGUUCCUGUAAUGUGGUUCAUUAAGUUCAUAAAACUGUGGCUGGUUGACGUCAAUGUAACGUUCAGGAAACUUAAAUGUGAUUAAAACAGUAACGUUAAUGUUCUAGUUGUCAGUAAUCAGCUUUAAUUUGACACUAAAACAGACUCUGAUAGUUUUAAAUGACAUCAGUUUCAUGAAUUUGUUGAAAAUUGUCUCAUUUGUUGUUGUGAUGUUGCUGCUGAUUCAUUAAAAUCAGAUGAUCCGUGUUGAAGUUAGUUCUAGUAUCACAAGUACAAGAAGGAAAAUGGAAGUUUAGUUCUGCUAGAUCAAAGAUUUCAGGAAUAAAAUAACCAAAUGAGUCUUUAUGCCUCAAACUUUAUUUUACAAUAAUGAAAUAAGGAAAUAAUCACAGAUAAUAAAAAUAUAAAUAGCAGAGAAAACCUGAGAGAAUAAUUUCCUGAAAAGUCUGUGAAAGAAAAGCAGCUUUUUAUCCUGAAAGAUCAGAAUCAGCUCCAACAUCUGCAUCUGACAGCAUCAAGUCAACCAGAAAGAAAAGAAAAAAGAAAAUGACUUCUUUCUGAUCACAUCUGUUCUGCUGCUCACAGGCUGCUGCUGCUCACAUUCUUCACAUUUAUAGUCCACUUUUAAAAGUUCAGCAGACAGGUGCUCUGCUUUGGAGUGUGACGAUGUCGUCGGUGAUGUGGAGAGUGAAGUUUCCGUUUCAGCCACAGCGUGCUUUAGGGUCAGACUUGAUGUUUGAAAUACUGAACAACAGCUCAGAUUUAACUGUCUGUAGUUCCGUUUUGAUGGAUGUUAAACUUUCACUCAAAGCUACCAGGAGCUGGGUCUUUAAAAUAACCGCCGUCUCGUUACAGAGUGAAAGUAACAGUUCCUCCUGAAGGUCAGAGAUUGCAGCAUCUGAGGGCCUCUUCAAAAGAAGAUGUAGUUGAUGAAGGCGUUCUGGAGCAGGACCAGAAAGACCACGACCAAGCAGCCUUGAGAUCUUAGACAGCGUCUCCCUGAGGUCCCUCUCUAUCUCCCCACACAUCCACCAACCACUGGAACACAUCUCCAAAGUUCUGCCGGGCCAGCUCAGCUUCCCCUCAGAAGAAGUGGCGCCACCUGCCAGAUGAAGGAGCCUUUUGAGAGGCAGCUGGCAUCGUGAUUGGACUGUACUUUGGUCUGUUCCAAUCCAGCUUCAGUUCCAGAGACGGCAGGCGGGACGAGUCAACGGAGGCCUGGUGGACGAAGGCAUGCAGCUGAGUACAAUCCAGAAAGAGACAUACAUUGUAGAAUUGUAGUAAUUGUGGGCUGACUGAUUUACUGAUUAUCAGUAUUUUAUUUUUUACCGAUUUACGAUAAUAAAUAAAUUUAAAAAUGG